UUGUAGUAGGUACCGGAGUUGUUUGUGGUCCGGGGAAGGACGAGGCCGAGCUCUAGGCUGGAAAGCGUGAGAUACAGUUGCUUUUGAGGGCUGGGCCGCAAGAAAGGCUUGAAGGUUGAGCAGUUUCGGUAUCCGGAGGCCGCUGCUGGAGAGAAGCCCGGUUUUUCUGCAGUGGUCUCUCCAGCGGAGCGGGAGAGGGGAACUUCGUGACGGGCUCCCGUUAGGCUGCGUGUCUGGGGAAGGAGGAUACAGGAAGAUCCCGAAUUUGAGGCCAGCCCGGGUUACUUAGUGGAAACCCCUCCCCGCAAAAGAAAAAAAUUGCGUUAAAAAAAAACCUUAAUUUUGCCUUGA